UGCCUCAUAUGCUCACGACACUUGGUGUUUGGAAAUAACACCUCAUCUAUGAUGUGGCAACUUCGUGCUAAGCAUGGGGAUGCAGUUACUCUGCUGCUGAGCACCUCUGUUGAAACCCACCCUCCUGAACCUUCUGUUUCCGGGAAGCAACAGCUGGAUGAGGCCUUGCUGAACCUUAUUAUUAUGGAUGCAUAGCCACUGUCUGUGGUGGAAAAUGAAGGCUUUAAUGCCUUUCUCCACCUCCUGGAUCCCAUGUAGACAAUACCAGGAAGGAAGUCACGUCCUUCUCUCCAUUGAGCACACACACCCGUCAUACACAGCCAGAAGGCCGAGAAGCGAUGAGAAGAUGAAGGCAUGUGGCAUUAAACUGGACAAGAGGUGAUACAUGUUUUCAGGUAAAAUCAAUUACACCUUUGUGUUUCACAUUGAAAUAAAAUUUACCAUGAAAUCAAACCUUUUUUACUGGACAAAACUGUUUGUCAUAGACCCAUGAAUGAGAUGUCAAAUCCACGACUUAUUAAGGAGAGGUGUGCUAUGAAUUUCCGUUAACAGUUAUAACCCUUGUAUAGGGACCAAUUCUCACUAUUAACUAGUUGCUUAUUAGCAUGCAUAUUUUUAGAAUAUUGACUGUUUAUUAGAAAUUAUAAAGAACAUAUUCUGCAUGACCAUAUUCUACAUCCCUAAUCCUACCCAAUACCUAAACCUAACAACUAUUAUAUUAACUAUUAACCAAAUUAGGAGUUUAUUGAGACAAACGUCAUAAUUAAUGAUUUGUUAAUAGCGAGAAUUGGAUCUUAAAAUAAAGUGUGAGCGAAUUUUCCAGUGAUUGGGUGUUAAUCCGACUAGUGAAAAAUCAUGGAAAAAAUCCCAUAGGCUUGACAAUGGCAUUACAUUUUUGCAGGGACAAACUGGCCAUCUGGAGCACCUGGACUUUCCCCCCACCCUAGCAACCGUACAAACAGCCACCCAUGUGUCCGGAACCAACUACUUCCAUACUAUAUAGUGGCCGAAAUUCAGAAUGGGGUUAUAUAGACAUUUGGGCGGGCACUUUUAUUUUGGUUGACAAACCAGUUUGUGGCCACUCCCUAACAACUUACAAGAGUACCCUAGCAACCGUAUAGCAAUAUGAACAAGCCAUAUCCCAAAUCCACAACAUCGUACAGACCUGGUUAUGCUAUAUUGAAAGCUUUCCUGUGGCUCAUGCCAAGGUCAUGGGUUCGAGCCCAGGGGAUUGCACAUAGUCAGAAACAAAUGUAUAGUACAAUGCAAGUCACUUUGGAUAAAAGCAUCUGCCAAAUGCAUAAAUGUAAACCUUGAGCACUUUAGCAACUGCCCAGUGACAAAUUUUGCAUGGCAAGCAGCACACAAAUAUAAACAUAUAAAAAUAUAAAAAACAAAGUAUAAUUUAUGCUUUCUUUUUAAAGGAUACCGGUUUAAACAUGAUGGGAUCAUGGUGCAGUGGUGUAACCUUAUCAAGCGAUGGGACGAUGAAUCCUUAACAGAGCAAGAAAACCUCAAACAAACAUAUAAGAUGGGCUGUAACUGCACGAUCUCUACGUGCUUUGGCAGUCCAUGUUGUUCCCAAUCUAAGAAAGAAUGUACGUGGGAAAAAAAUCAAGCAAACAAUCUUGUUUUGCGCAGUCGUUAUGGAGCACAAUUAUUCUUUACUGUUUGCAGCUGGUUCUGUCAUCAAAGACAUUUUUACUAGACAUGCUAUAAUAGAGAUGCUGAUCUUGCAUGUGUUUUACAAGACAGAUCAUCUGACUAAGUGUAACCGGUCUGUGAGGAGUCACCCCUGGCACAAUCAGCGUCGCCAUGGAGAUGGAGGAAAUCAGAGCAGCACACCUGCCGCCCAUCAGCGCCUCGUGCCAAACGGCUAUAAAAGCCGCUGGCAAUCGCAGGAAGGUGAGCAACGUCUCCAGAGCACAGAGAUCACACUCAAGCUUUGUUCUUGUGGUUUUUUUCCAGACUUGGACGAUUGAGCGAACGACCGGAAGGAACGCCCAUCCCGCCCCGCUACUCGCAGCAACUGGACAGGCCGGCCCAACGACUCAUACCCUCCUCGGCUCUGGAGAGUAACGGAUCCGAUGAUAGGAUUGACCCGGCUCCCCAACCCUGUACUUCUUUCGUCUCCUCCGGGAGGCUAUCAAUAAACUUACCCUCCGGGGUCAUACUCUUUACCUACUGUGUACGUGUCGUUGCUCUGCCUGUCACAGGUCCCACUUGCACCGCUCUGCACGGGCCUCGAUCCGGCGACGGUCCGGAUGGGAGACGGGAGCUCUAACGAGGAGGCUAAAGACCAGGAGGCUAAAGACUCUUCACUAGCUGGCCUCCGUUACAUAAGUACAUUCAUUUUAUGAAUUAUGUCUAAUAAUUAAAUAAAAUCAAGUCAUCAAACGCAAUAAACAUGAUUUCUCAUUCACGUCUGAUUGAUUAUUAGCGGUGGAGUUGAAGACGACAGUUCCGUUCUCCUUCACAACGUCAUCAAGAUACGCCUUUGUAGUUGUUUUGAACAUAUCUGUUUUGAAUGCGGCUCUAGCUCUAGCGGCGGAUUUUACAAAUUGCGCCUUUAAAUGCAUGAAACAGGAUAUUUUUCUAAUUUCUUUAUCUUCGACUUUAUUAAAAAUGCAUACGGUGUAACACGUCUAAAAGAACCAUAUGAAAAAUUCCUCUCAAAACUCCAAAUAGAAAAAAACUUCACCACAAUGUUUAAUAUGCUGUGAAAUUCUAAAUUUUGUGGCUAUGCCACGAACGGCCGUGAGACUGGGUUGUCACCAGUGACAUGCACAAAAUAAAG